CUCAUAGGCGGUUUGUCGCGUCUGCUGUGAAAUCCGGAGGCUCAACCUCCGGCCUGCAGUGGGUACGGGCAGACUAGAGUGCGGUAGGGGAGAUUGGAAUUCCUGGUGUAGCGGUGGAAUGCGCAGAUAUCAGGAGGAACACCAAUGGCGAAGGCAGAUCUCUGGGCCGUAACUGACGCUGAGGAGCGAAAGCAGUGGGGAGCGAACA
rnacentral:rRNA from 1 species